GGAACAUGUGCAACGUCAUGCGGAAUGUUAAUAGUGAAGCCAGGGCCAAAACCGAGGUCAGCCUGAGUCCAAGUCCAAUUCCACAAACACGAUGUUAACAUCCUCCUGGGUGCCAGGCACUGUGCUUUGGGGGCAUAGCUGCCUCCCUAUUGUCAAGGAUUUUGAGCACAUCAGAUUUGAGGACCUUUUUUCAAUAGGUCUAUGUUUUUCUUACAACCACUCUCCAUUUUAAACACAUCAUGAGUAGACUUUUGGAGUCUGAUCUAUCGAGCUGGGUGUGUUUGGAAAGCUACAGAGCAGUGGCCAUAGAAAGACUGUGUGAGACAGAGUCCUAGCCUAUCUGUCCGGCCAGUCGAACCUCAUGUGUUCGCUGCUUUCAUUUUCUCUUGGCUGAGGAAAUGAUGGUUUGGUUUUGCAAAGGAAGGCUGGGGACUUCUGCCAGCUUGCUAACGGCCUUGCCCCAUUCAGAUGCAUCGAACUCACAGAACAUCGCUCCCCAGCUGCCGGCCUGCAGUUCUGAGAGUGCCUGAAUAGAAAACCACUCAUUUCCCUUCGCAAUAGAGGCGCCCAAAGCAGAUAUGUCAAUAUAUUCCAAUUUAGCCGAGGGAAGCCAGAACAUGGAUGUUGUUGCCAAGGAAACCACCUCCUUCCUCCUGUGUGCCGUGCAUACGUGUAUCACUUCAUCUCUCUGCUCUCCAAGCUGGAAUCCAGAUCUGACGUGGAUCUCCUGCCCCAGUUCUGAAGUCUACCUGGUGCCCCAGCCGAACCUGCCCUGGCUCCUGCGUGGGGUAUGGACAUCUGUGGCAUCCCUCCCUAACACCCCACCAAGCUGGGCUGCAAGACAGGUUAUGGUGGCCCCAUGACUUCGUUCCUUGGAGGAAGAUGACAAUGACUGUGGAAGCAGAAGGGUGUCAUGGAAAUGCACCUGUUCCAAGUUGUUACACUCUGGGCUCUGGGCUGGCUCUGCAUGGGCCUACCAUGCACUGACUUCAGCUUCACCUGGGUCAGCGGGAGGCUGGACAAAGGUAGACAUCUUUCCUCACCACCAGCCUGCAUUGUGGCUUUCUGUUGCCGGUGUGAACAGACACUCAAGCUUUCCUGGUCUCCUGAGCUACUGUGAAUAUGGCACAAGAUAGUGGACUCUGAAUAACAUUGGAAACAACUACUUCCUGGAUGGCCACUGAGUGCAAGGCCUGAGGGAGGGUGAGGGCAAGAGGACUGAUGGUUACUGGACAUCUUCAUGACCAGGCUUCUGUGUGUCCUCUCACUUAAUCCUCCAACAGCACUGUGAGGAAAAUACAGCAUCCCACCUCACAGGCGAGGAAGCUCAAGUUGAAGGAAUGUUAAAUUGUCUGCUCUGAGCCUCACAGCCAGGAGGUGACAGCCCCAGGAUUGGUGGCCAGGGUUUGUCUGCCUUUAAAGCUUAUGUCAUGUCCUUCUGUGUUAUCUCGGUCUGUACAGGGUGCUACAGCAAAAUACCAUAGCCUGGGUAGUUUAUGAGCAACAGAAAUUUAUUUCUCAUAGUUCUGGAGUCUGGAAGUCCAAGACCAAGGCUCCUGCAGGUUCAGUGUUUGGUGAGGACCCACUUCCUUGUUCAUAGAGGUCCUUUUCUUGCUGUGGCCUCACAGCAAGGGGUCAGGGUUCUCUCUGGGACCUCUUUAAAUAGGGUCACCAAUUCCAUUCAUGAGGGCUGCACCCCCAUGACCUAAUCCCCUCCCAAAGGCCCCGCUUGACCAUACUAUUACGUUGGGGGUUACGAUUCUGACAUGAAUUUUGGGAGGGACACAGGCAUUCUGACCAUAGUAUGUGUGUAGCUCCUCCUCCCCACCGAGGAAACCACCGCUUCCAAGCAUGGCUACCAUCUGGUUACCCUGGGUGGCCAAGGUCAGCAGAGGUGCUUUGCCACACCCACACUACCUCUGUCCAGGUGGGCUGGGGCGAGGGUUGAGUCAUAGUGGGACUCUGUGGGGCUCUGGGGACUGUCAGCUGACCUGGGGCCGGAGGUCCUGCUGCUCUGUGCCCAUAGACACCUCCUGGGAAUGUGGUGACUUUCAUCAGGGCCCAGAACUCACCCUGACAGUUCUUUCAGCUCUUGUUUUUCCUCCCCUACCUACCUGCUCAUCUCGCUUUCACACACAAAGCCUCCCCUGCACUCCCUGUUCCCCUCCUCAAUCCCUUUCCCAGCUUUUGUACUUUAUGAUGCCGUGACUUGGGUGAGGAAACUCAUUAAAGUCAUUAUUCCGUGCACAGAAAUGUGUCUUUCAUCCCAUUCAUAUUUAAUGUUCCUCCCACUUGAUCUUUUGACACUUUUUAAUUCCUGAUAUUAUGUGACAUACACACACA